rnacentral:rRNA from 1 species
GAUGAACGCUAGCGGCAGGCCUAACACAUGCAAGUCGAGGGGUAGCAGGAUUAAGCUUGCUUAAUUGCUGACGACCGGCGCACGGGUGCGUAACGCGUAUGCAACCUACCUUAUACUGGGGUAUAGCCCGGAGAAAUUCGGAUUAAUCCCCCAUAGUACUAAUGAAUCGCAUGGUUUAUUAGUUAAAGCAUUGCGGUAUAAGAUGGGCAUGCGUCCUAUUAGCUAGAUGGUGAGGUAACGGCUCACCAUGGCUACGAUAGGUAGGGGGCCUGGGAGGGUGGGCCCCCACACUGGUACUGAGACGCGGACCAGACUCCUACGGGAGGCAGCAGUGAGGAAUAUUGGUCAAUGGGCGCAAGCCUGAACCAGCCAUGCCGCGUGCAGGAAGAAUGCCCUAUGGGUUGUAAACUGCUUUUAUUUGGGAAUAAACCUCUUUACGUGUAGAGAGCUGACGGUACCUGAAGAAUAAGCACCGGCUAACUACGUGCCAGCAGCCGCGGUAA